rnacentral:rRNA from 1 species
AAAACUAGCCAGUCUUUUGGGUAUGAAACCCAUUUGGGUGAGAGUAGUACUAGGAUGGGUGACCUAUUGGGAAGUCCUCGUGAAAGGGUUUC